rnacentral:rRNA from 1 species
GAUGAACGCUGGCGGCGUGCCUAAUACAUGCAAGUCGAGCGAACAGAUGAGGAGCUUGCUCCUCUGACGUUAGCGGCGGACGGGUGAGUAACACGUGGAUAACCUACCUAUAAGACUGGGAUAACUUCGGGAAACCGGAGCUAAUACCGGAUAAUAUAUUGAACCGCAUGGUUCAAUAGUGAAAGACGGUUUUGCUGUCACUUAUAGAUGGAUCCGCGCCGCAUUAGCUAGUUGGUAAGGUAACGGCUUACCAAGGCAACGAUGCGUAGCCGACCUGAGAGGGUGAUCGGCCACACUGGAACUGAGACACGGUCCAGGCUCCUACGGGAGGCAGCAGUAGGGAAUCUUCCGCAAUGGGCGAAGGCCUGACGGAGCAACGCCGCGUGAGUGAUGAAGGUCUUCGGAUCGUAAAACUCUGUUAUUAGGGAAGAACAAAUGUGUAAGUAACUAUGCACGUCUUGACGGUACCUAAUCAGAAAGCCACGGCUAACUACGUG